CAGCAGAACAAUCUGUAAAUGCAACUGUUACAUAAUACCUCCACGUAAAGUUGGUACAGCCGUCGUGGUAGCAAACAGCUACCUGUUUACACCUGGAGCAGCCAUGGUGCAACAUCAUCAUGUUUCCGGCUUCCCUCUCAAACGCAAUACAGAGCACAAAUGACGGUUGGUACACUUUCUGAAUUUUGGCAUCACUGUGGAGGAUUUAACAAGGGAAAGCCACAUGUGCCCACCACAUCCACAGCCCUGAAGCCACCAAGCACGAGCUGGCCAUAGCAACUGCUAACCAAAAGCUCUCUGCCCAGCAACACACAGAGGAUCAGAGGCUGUUGCACGGCUGUCCAGUUUCCCCAGUCCUGAAAGAAUCAUUUGAGGGAAUCCCUCUAACCUGGAACUGCAAACAAAAGCCUGUCUAACUGCUGUAUCGCUGAGCUCCAUGGGCUGCCCUCCCUGCUGUCUGCUCUCUGCUGCCUGGGCCUUCGGGCUCACUAUGCUCAGCCGACUGACUGGUAGCUGCAUCGCCACCUUUACGUUUUUUUUCUCUUCUUGUUUGUCCAUUUGCUCCACUCCACCAUUCAGCUGGCUACUGCAAGUGAUUAGGACAACAAGCACAAGAUCAUGAUGUUGUUUAGUACUGUUAGUGGUGCCAUUACUACGCCAGGCGAGUAAAAAUGUUCUUGUUUUUCAAGGCUGUUCAUCACUUAUUGACAUCGCUGGUGCAACAGAUGCUCAGGAACCUGUUUUUGUCGGCAGCGCAGCACCUCUACAAAUACACCACAUCACUGCUGCUAUAACACAUCAGUUAAAUUACUGAAGCCUAUGGGGCUAUUCAUUCCUUUACCUUGUGCAUAAAUGUAGGGGUUGAGUUCAUUUCACCUUCAGUAAUGCAGAGUCAGUGUGUAGAUUUUCUCUAAAGGGAAAAUGGAAAUCUUCUACCUUUAGAAAAACAUGUGUUUGUACAGUCUCAGUUUUUACUGACCCUGAAGCUACUGCCUGAACAAACACGCACAGAGAGCGCACACACUCUCGCGUAAAAUCUGUCAGAUUAAUUCAGCCCUACAUACAACAACAACUUUGUGACUUUCAGCUGCAUAAUUGUGAUGGUUUGGCAGCCUCUGAGAGAAUGUGAUUAAAACCCAUGCCAGCAUGCACUUACAUUAUUAUUGUAUACUUUAUGUUUAUACCAUUGUUCUGUGCUCUGGGGGGGUUGUACUUUUGUUUCUAGUGAGUGGAGUGUACAAAACAAUAAAGCAGCUGAGAAAUUAAUUUAUGUAUGUGCUAAUGGUGGUGUGACAGGUAACUGAGCAUUGAGGUUGUGCUUUGUGCUUCUUUAUGUCCUUAAACCAUGUUUUUGAUGUAUUAUUCAACAGUGAAUUCAAGUAAAGCAUUUUAAAAAUUGCGUGGGUGGAUGAAGAAUGCUUCU